AUUGAACGCUGGCGGCAGGCCUAACACAUGCAAGUCGAGCGAGCGGCGGACGGGUGCGUAAUGUAUGGGGACUGCCCGAUCGAGGGGGAUACCUACUGGAACCGGUAGCUAAUAACGCCUACUAUCCGAUAACACAUGUGGGACUAGCUAGUCGGUGAGGUAAUGGCCCACCUAGGCGACGAUCCCCAGAUGGUCUGAGCGGAUGAUCAGCCAGCGGUGGACUGAGACACGGCCCAGACUCCUACGGAGGCAGCAGUGGGGAAUAUUGCACAAUGGGCGCAAGCCUGAUGCAGCCAUGCCGCGUGUAUGAAGAAGGCCCUAGGUGUGUAAAGUACUUUCAGUCGGGAGGCGUUACCGACAGAAUAAGCACCGGCUAACUCCGUGCCAGCAGCCGCGGUAAUAC
rnacentral:rRNA from 1 species